rnacentral:rRNA from 1 species
AUGAACGCUGGCGGCGUGCCUAAUACAUGCCAGUCGAGCGAACAGAUGAGGAGCUUGCUCCUCUGACGUUAGCGGAGGACGGGUGAGUAACACGUGGAUAACCUACCUAUAAGACUGGGAUAACUUCGGGAAACCGGAGCUAAUACCGGAUAAUAUAUUGAACCGCAUGGUUCAAUAGUGAAAGACGGUUUUGCUGUCACUUAUAGAUGGAUCCGCGCCGCAUUAGCUAGUUGGUAAGGUAACGGCUUACCAAGGCAACGAUGCGUAGCCGACCUGAGAGGGUGAUCGGCCACACUGGAACUGAGACACGGUCCAGACUCCUACGGGAGGCAGCAGUAGGGAAUCUUCCGCAAUGGGCGAAAGCCUGACGGAGCAACGCCGCGUGAGUGAUGAAGGUCUUCGGAUCGUAAAACUCUGUUAUUAGGGAAGAACAAAUGUGUAAGUAACUAUGCACGUCUUGACGGUACCUAAUCAGAAAGCCACGGCUAACUACGUG